rnacentral:rRNA from 1 species
UAGUGAGUUUGAUCCUGGCUCAGAGCGAACGCUGGCGGCAGGCCUAACACAUGCAAGUCGAACGAACUCUUCGGAGUUAGUGGCGGACGGGUGAGUAACACGUGGGAACGUGCCUUUAGGUUCGGAAUAACUCAGAGAAAUUUGUGCUAAUACCGUAUGAUGUCGAAAGACCAAAGAUUUAUCGCCUAAGGAUGAGCCCGCGUAAGAUUAGCUAGUUGGUAAGGUAAAAGCUUACCAAGGCGACGAUCUCUAAUUGGUCUAAGAGGAUGACCAGUCACACUGGGACUGAGACACGGCCCAGACUCCUAC